GGAAGUCAUCCAAUGGCAUGACCAUCAUGUUGGUGUUCCCGCUCCAUGUCCCGAUUUUGAUGGAAACUCCCUUUGCCAACCCGGAGAUUCACCUGGCCUCCGAGUUCACCGCCUUCAUUCGGCUUGGGCUCUUCUCCAAGAUCAACCUAAGUCGCUUUGCUUCUCGAUCGGCUAUGAAGUUGUGGGUAGCGCCCGUGUCCACCAUUGCAUGGGUCGUUUGGCCAUUUAGCUUGAUGUCCACAUAUAUCAGCUCACUACUUCAGGCUUUUUGUAGCUUUGUCUUCAUGUUCUCCCCCACUUGACCCCGCAUGGCAUUCAACAAACGCAUUGCUCCCAU
rnacentral:lncRNA from 1 species